CUCCCAAUGCCAAGAGGCUAUUUCUGCAAGGGAAGUGUGUGUGUGUGUGUGUGUGGGGGGGGGGUGUCCCCUCCCUGUACUGUCUUUAUCCCUUCAACAGAAGCCAAGUGGCUACAACAAAUGGAACUGGCAGCACCAGAAAUCUCAAUCCUGUGGGAAGCCCUUUGUGAUAGUCGACGGUAAUCAAACCCAGCCGCCAUACAGUACUGCUGCAGAACAUCAAGCAACUAGGGAGAAGGUCAUGAUCCCAGGGCCUUGGGAUGGAGCCCCGCAUUGGACUCCCUGCUCAGAGUUAUGGCUUCUAAAGGAAUUGAGGAAAAGUUAUUUUAUCUGCUCCUUACCUCCGACACUGGAAUAAAGAACUAUGUAAUCAAAAGCAAGAUUGUGAAGAUACCACACAGAAACGCUUGCCUUAUAACAACAAUUUCUCCUUUUCCGGCCACUGCUGCAGCUACAAGGUUCAGAAGACUGAAGUAUCAAAGUCACAUCUUUGGUUUCUAAUACUGUUUGAUAGACAGCUUUCUGAAAAUCUGUCAGAGAACAAUACACCAUCUGCCAAGAUGAAACACUAAGUAAUUAUUGGUACUUUUUUAUAGCAGUAAUAAUCACAAUGCACAUCAGAUUUUAUAGACUAUAAAAGUGAAAACUGCUUAUAAACUAUUUUUCUUUUAGAUGCAUUAAUAUGACAAUUUCUCCCACCCUAAUCUAAACCCUAUAAAUGAUAACUUUAUUUUCAAAUCUCAUAGAGUUUGUUUUUCAAUUGAAAGGAAUUAAAAUAUGAAAAAACAA